AAAAUGCAAAUGCAAUCAGACGGUCCCACUGUGGGGUGUGAAGUGUCCGUAGAGCUGUGAGAGGUCAGCAAAAGGCCGUUGGAUCGCAAACCCCAGCCAGCCGUGCUCGAAAGCCUCCAUUGGGUUAUUUGUGCCAGCAAGUCCUCCUCUGGACCCUGAGAAGGUCAAAGAGUUACAGCGCUUCAUCACCCUUUCCAAGAGACUCCUUGUGAUGACUGGGGCAGGAAUCUCCACCGAAUCGGGGAUACCAGACUACAGGUCAGAAAAAGUGGGGCUUUAUGCCCGCACUGACCGCAGGCCCAUCCAGCAUGGUGAUUUUGUCCGGAGUGCCCCAAUCCGCCAGCGGUACUGGGCGAGAAACUUCGUAGGCUGGCCUCAAUUCUCCUCCCACCAGCCUAACCCUGCACACUGGGCUUUGAGCACCUGGGAGAAACUCGGAAAGCUGUACUGGUUGGUGACCCAAAAUGUGGAUGCUUUGCACACCAAGGCGGGGAGUCGGCGCCUGACAGAGCUCCACGGAUGCAUGGACAG
rnacentral:lncRNA from 1 species